UUUAUCAGAGAGUUUGAUCCUGGCUCAGGAUGAACGCUGGCGGCGUGCUUAACACAUGCAAGUCGAACGGGAAAUACUUUAUUGAAACUUCGGCGGAUUUAAUUUAUUUCUAGUGGCGGACGGGUGAGUAACGCGUGGGUAACCUGCCUUAUACUGGGGGAUAACAGCCAGAAAUGGCUGCUAAUACCGCAUAAGCGCACAGAACCGCAUGGUUCGGUGUGAAAAACUCCGG
rnacentral:rRNA from 1 species